UCCAGGGUAGCCUAGUGGACAUGGCAUCUGCCCGGUAAGCGGAACAUUGUGGGUUCGAUUCCCAUCCCUGGUC